rnacentral:rRNA from 1 species
CGUCACACCAUGGGAGUG